rnacentral:rRNA from 1 species
CCUACGGGUGGCAGCAGUAGGGAAUAUUGCGCAAUGGACGAAAGUCUGACGCAGCAACACCGCGUGUGUGAUGAAGGCCCUCGGGUCGUAAAGCACUUUUCUGAAGGAAGAGAAAGGACGGUACUUCAGGAAUAAGUCUCGGCUAACUACGUGCCAGCAGCCGCGGUAACACGUAGGAGGCAAGCGUUAUCCGGAUUUACUGGGCGUAAAGCGCGUGCAGGCGGUUUGGUAAGUUGGAUGUGAAAGCUCCUGGCUUAACUGGGAGAGGUCGUUCAAUACUGCCAAACUAGAGGACGGUAGAGGAAGGUAGAAUUCCUGGUGUAGUGGUGAAAUGCGUAGAUAUCAGGAGGAAUACCAGUGGCGAAGGCGGCCUUCUGGGCCGUUCCUGACGCUAAGACGCGAAAGCAUGGGUAGCGAACGGGAUUAGAAACCCCGGUAGUCCAUGCCGUAAACGAUGCAAACUAGGUGUUGGUGGUGUAAAAGCCAUCAGUGCCGCAGCUAACGCGAUAAGUUUGCCGCCUGGGGACUACGGCCGCAAGGUUAAAACUCAAAGGAAUUGACGGGUUCCCGCACAAGCAGCGGAGCGUGUGGUUUAAUUCGAUACGCGAAGAACCUUACCUGGGUUUGACAUGUUGGUAGUAGAAAAGCGAAAGCGGAUCGACCCUUCGGGGAGCCAUCACAGGUGCUGCAUGGCUGUCGUCAGCUCGUGUCGUGAGAUGUUGGGUUAAGUCCCGCAACGAGCGCAACCCCUGUCGUUAGUUACAAGUGUCUAGCGAGACUGCCGGUUUCAAACCGGAGGAAGGUGGGGAUGACGUCAAGUCAGCAUGGUCUUUAUGUCCAGGGCUACACACACGCUACAAUGGCCGGUACAACAGGUUGCCACACCGCGAGGUGGAGCUAAUCCCUAAAGCCGGUCUCAGUUCGGAUUGUAGUCUGCAACUCGACUGCAUGAAGGUGGAGUUGCUAGUAACCGCGCGUCAGAAUAGUGCGGUGAAUGCGUUCCCGGGCCUUGUACACACCGCCCGUCACAUCAUGGAAGUCGGUAACACCUGAAGUUGGUGACUGAACCGCAAGGAAGGAACUACCUAAGGUGGGAUCGGUAACUGGGAUGAAGUCGUAACAAGGUAGCUGUAGCGGAAGCUGCGGCUGG